rnacentral:rRNA from 1 species
CUACCUGGCACUGCGAAUGCUUAGAUUAAGUUGAUCAUGGCUCAGAGCGAACGCUNUCGGUAGGCCUAACACAUGCAAGUCGAACGGCAGCACAGGAGAGCUUGCUCUCUGGGUGGCGAGUGGCGGACGGGUGAGGAAUACAUCGGAAUCUACUCUGUCGUGGGGGAUAACGUAGGGAAACUUACGCUAAUACCGCAUACGACCAUACGGGUGAAAGCAGGGGAUCUUCGGACCUUGCGCGAUUGAAUGAGCCGAUGUCGGAUUAGCUAGUUGGCGGGGUAAAGGCCCACCAAGGCGACGAUCCGUAGCUGGUCUGAGAGGAUGAUCAGCCACACUGGAACUGAGACACGGUCCAGACUCCUACGGGAGGCAGCAGUGGGGAAUAUUGGACAAUGGGCGCAAGCCUGAUCCAGCCAUACCGCGUGGGUGAAGAAGGCCUUCGAGGUUGUAAAGCCCUUUAUGUAGGGAAAGAAAUCCAGCUGGCUAAUACCUGGUUGGGAUGACGGUACCCAAAGAAUAAGCACCGGACUAACUUCGUGCCAGCAAGCCGACGGUAAUACGAAGGGUGCAAGCGUUACAUCGGAAUUAACUGGGCGUAAAAGCGUUGCGUUAGUGGUCAGGUAUUAAGCUUCCGUUGUGAAAAGGCCCCAUGAGGCUUCAACCUUGGGGGAACACUGGCAGAUGGGAUUACUGGGGGCAGGACUNAGAAGUUGUGGGUAANACGGGGUANCGGAACUUCCCUGGUGUAGGCANGUNGNAANUUGCNUGAAGCANCAGGGAGGAACAUCAUUGGCAAAUGGACAGAUACUGGACCACCCUUGACUAGGGCCCAAACACCUUGGGA